rnacentral:rRNA from 1 species
AUUGAACGCUGGCGGCAUGCUUUACACAUGCAAGUCGAACGGUAACAGGCCUUCGGGUGCUGACGAGUGGCGAACGGGUGAGUAAUGCAUCGGAACGUACCCAGAGGUGGGGGAUAACGCAGCGAAAGCUGUGCUAAUACCGCAUGUGAUCUGAGGAUGAAAGCGGGGGACCGAGCAGCAAUGUUUGGCCUCGCGCCUUUGGAGCGGCCGAUGUCGGAUUAGCUAGUUGGUGGGGUAAAGGCCUACCAAGGCGACGAUCCGUAGCUGGUCUGAGAGGACGACCAGCCACACUGGAACUGGGACACGGCCCAGACUCCUACGGGAGGCAGCAGUGGGGAAUUUUGGACAAUGGGCGAAAGCCUGAUCCAGCAAGGCCGCGUGCGGGAAGAAGGCCUUCGGGUGUUAAGCCGCUUUUGGCAGGAACGAAACGGUGUCCGCUAAUACCGGGCGCUAAUGACGGUACCUGCAGAAUAAGCACCGGCUAACUACGUG